rnacentral:tRNA from 1 species
GGGUGCAUAGCUCAGUUGGUUAGAGCGCUACCCUGAUAAGGUAGAGGUCUCUGGUUCGAAUCCAGAUGCACCCA